CCUUUGGCAAAGCGGAUCCAGCUCUCCUAGUAGGACCACCUGUGAAAGGCAGAAAGCCUGGGCUCUUCGUCAUCGCUGUUACUGAACCUGCUUUCAGGAAGCUCCCAUCCCUGGUUAUGCUUUAAAAAGGCUGCAUAUUGCCCUAGGCAUGCUGCUUACACUGCUAUGGUUCAGUAAACUGACUUUGAAUAGUUCACUGAGUUGUUACUGGCUCUGAGAAGAGCCAACACCUUCCCCCCGACUUCUGAGCUCUAAGGGGCGUGCAUCUGGCAAAACCCAUGUCAUGCAAGAUGUUCAAGCACAAGUCUAGCCUCCCAAGUGAAGGCAGAUGAAGGGCUGCUCAGGGCUUUGAACGUUUCAGCAAAUGAACUUCUCUGAGCGCGGUUGUGAAGUCUGCAAAUGAGACUGUUCAUUUUGAGAAGAGGCAGACAUGGAGAAGAAGGGCUGGACCAGACUUGUGCUGCGGCCUUGGGAGAUACCAAAGAGCGAGUUGGUCAGCACUGCUGGAUUUUUCUGAUCAAUUUUGUGUUCUGUGGAUACGCUGGUGCAGCAAGGUAGAGAAAUCUGACAUGGGCCAACUUCUCCAAGAUCAGCUUAUCACCCGCUCAGGCUGAGGAAUUCUUAUUCCUUGGGUUGAGGUAACCUUUGGGUUAAUUUGAACUAAAUUGCUCCUAAAGGGAAGGGGCUGAUUGUCUCUUUUGGAUUCCUUCUUGUUCACAGGGAGACUUUCAUCUUCUUUCCUCCACCCCCUUUCAUGCUAUCCUAGCUCAAACGGUGGAGAUGUGUGCUAGAGGCUUGAAACCACCAACCUGCUGCUGAUCAUGUGGGAAGGUUAAUGCAGGUUCUGCUGAUGGUAUUAGUUUUUCUCUGUUCAACUAUGAUUUAGUUAGAAACUAUGAUCUGUGUUAGAAAUCUGUAAUAUGUAGUACUUCGUCCG
rnacentral:lncRNA from 1 species